rnacentral:rRNA from 1 species
GACGAACGCUGGCGGCGUGCCUAAUACAUGCAAGUAGAACGCUGAAGGAGGAGCUUGCUUCUCUGGAUGAGUUGCGAACGGGUGAGUAACGCGUAGGUAACCUGCCUGGUAGCGGGGGAUAACUAUUGGAAACGAUAGCUAAUACCGCAUAAGAGUAGAUGUUGCAUGACAUUUGCUUAAAAGGUGCAAUUGCAUCACUACCAGAUGGACCUGCGUUGGAUUAGCUAGUUGGUGGGGUAACGGCUCACCAAGGCGACGAUACAUAGCCGACCUGGGAGGGUGAUCGGCCACACUGGGACUGAGACACGGCCCAGACUCCUACGGGAGGCAGCAGUAGGGAAUCUUCGGGAAUGGACGGAAGUCUGACCGAGCAACGCCGCGUGAGUGAAGAAGGUUUUCGGAUCGUAAAGCUCUGUUGUAAGAGAAGAACGAGUGUGGGAGUGGAAAGUUCACACUGUGACGGUAUCUUACCAGAAAGGGACGGCUAACUACGUG